CAGUCGCCGCGGGAAUACGUAGGUGGCAAGCGUUGUCCGGAAUUAUUGGGCGUAAAGGGCUCGCAGGCGGUUUCUUAAGUCUGAUGUGAAAGCCCCCGGCUCAACCGGGGAGGGUCAUUGGAAACUGGGAAACUUGAAUGCAGAAGAGGAGAGUGGAAUUCCACGUGUAGCGGUGAAAUGCGUAGAGAUGUGGAGGAACACCAGUGGCGAAGGCGACUCUCUGGUCUGUAACUGACGCUGAGGAGCGAAAGCGUGGGGAGCGAACAGGAUUAGAUACCCGCGUAGUCCCUGUCUCUUAUAC
rnacentral:rRNA from 1 species